GGCCUAACACAUGCAAGUCGAGCGGCAGCAGGAUCAGUAGCAAUACUAAUUGGUGGCGAGCGGCGGACGGGUGAGGAACACGUAGGAACCUGUCGUUCAGAGGGGGACAACCAAGGGAAACUUUGGCUAAUACCGCGUAAUCUCGAAAGAGGAAAGCUGCCCGCAAGGGUGGCGCUGAAUGAGGGGCCUGCGUCCGAUUAGCUAGUUGGUAGGGUAAAAGCCUACCAAGGCAAUGAUCGGUAACUGGUCUGAGAGGACGACCAGUCACACUGGGACUGGGACACGGCCCAGACUCCUACGGGAGGCAGCAGUGGGGAAUAUUGGACAAUGGGGGCAACCCUGAUCCAGCGAUGCCGCGUGGGUGAAGAAGGCCUUCGGGUUGUAAAGCCCUUUAGAUCGGGAAGAAGGUUAUCCGACGAAUAAUCGGGUAAUUUGACGGUACCGGUAGAA
rnacentral:rRNA from 1 species